UACAGGGGGUGCAAACGUUGCUCGGAAUCAUUGGGCGUAAAGCGCACGUAGGCGGUCUGUUAUGUCGGAUGUGAAGGCCCUCGGCUUAACCGAGGAAGUGCAUCCGAAACUGGCGAGCUAGAGUACGAAAGAGGAUCGCGGAAUUCCCGGUGUAGAGGUGAAAUUCGUAGAUAUCGGGAGGAACACCGGUGGCGAAGGCGGCGAUCUGGGUCGAUACUGACGCUGAGGUGGCGAAAAGCGUGGGGAGCAAACAGG
rnacentral:rRNA from 1 species